rnacentral:misc_RNA from 1 species
AGCUAGAGAAAUUUUGUCAACACACUACAUACCAGUGCAAGACAAAGGCAAAGGUGGAGUUCACAGCCACAGUAAAUAUUAUUUUCCACACUGGAAAUUACGAGAAUUUUCAUCUUUAACAUAUUUUACAACGAAAUGAACCUAAAUUCUAACUAAAAUUCUGUGGUUUAAUUUAAUUUAAUAUUCAAAGGCUCCCUUAAUACCUUCAAGGGAUUCUCCAAGAGAUGCCUUAUACAUACAGUACUUGUACUCUUGGCUUCGAACGAGAUCUUUCUCACCUUCUUCGAGCGGAUCGCUCUCGUAAAUAAGCUCAUAACAAGUCGGAGAAAGGCAGCGCAAAGCACAAUUCUCCUUGGCCGUCAUCGAGGAUUUGCAUUGCUGGCCCCAUAGUCCACUCUCUAUAUCAGCAUAGCACUCGUUCUUCUUUUGCCUGAUUUCCGUGUCAGAUAUUGGGUGACGAGACUUGGAGAGAACAGGAGCAGCUAUAAACAAAAAGGAAAAUAUACAAAUAAAGAGAAAGUAAUCUGGAGGAGGAAUAUGAAUAAGAUUAGCCAUCUGCUGUUCGAUCAAACAAGAAAAAAAAAAAGGUUUCUGAUCUCUACUGACAGAUGAUUAACAAGCAGAUUCUUCUCCUG